UCUUCCACCUGGAUCCCUAGACCUCUUGCAGCACAGGGGUGCAGCUGACACACCUGGGCUCCCGCUUCCCGCCCUCCACCUCGUUCCCCUGGGUCCUCGCCACUGCCAGUCUCGAAAAGGCACACAGGACAGUUUCCCAAGUCGGCACACACGAAAGGGUCCCGAUGAGAGGGUGGUGCUGAAAUUGGAGGUGCCGGCUCUCGAUCCCCCUGGAUGGCAGCUGUAAGGACAAGGCUCUGCAGGCGCCACUGGACUUUCUCUCGUGUCUGCAGAGGGAGAAUCAGAUGAGCGUUGAUCGGCGGUGGAGGAUGGGUGAAGGGAGAAGAGGAACAGGGCUCCGACUAUGGUGAAAGCAAGAAACAUUCCAGAGAGGAGCACGAAGAUGCGGAUGCAAUCCGCGCUGCACAGGGACCUUUGGGCUGUGAUGGGAUGGGCAGGGGUCACAAGGGGGUUUGGGGGAGGGCCUAGCCCUUGACUCCCCUCAGCCCAGCCCUCCUGUCACCCCUGCCUCUCCCCUUUCCCCACCUUCCUCCCCUGCCCCCACCAUUAGACCACGUCCUUUUCUAAUCCCUGGACUCUGCUUCUCCCUCUUCUUACCCCUGUUCCUAGGAGCUUUCUGGCUGGCUUCCCUCCUGGACCCUCCUGUGUGCAUUCUCUCUCUCGGGGUGGGGAGUGGGGAGAAAACUCACGUGACCAGUGGGUAGAGAGAGUUGGGGCAGGCAGCCACCUGGAAUCAGCCAGAGUCCGAAUAUGCCGGCCUGUCCUGGCCUCUGGUAUCUCUGGAAAAACAGAGACAAGAUGGGCAGCCGCAGGGGGCCCCAGAAGGCACAAGGCUAGGCUAAAGGCCUAAGCGGGCCUGGGGGAGAUGCGAAGGCCGAGACAGGCGGACGAGGCAACGUAUGUGGGACUGGGCAUGGGAGAGGGGGUGCUGAUUGGGGUGUGACCCUUACCCCCGAUGACCAGAC